AUUAUUCUUUUUGUUUGAAUGGAAAGUCUAUCACCUCUCUCACUCUUUAGUUAAAAAAUAAAAUAAUUCCUCUCAUAUGUCACUGAUCUCACUCUCUCACUUGCAAACCCUAAGUCUCAUCUCAUCUCUCUCACUCGAUCAAUGGAAAUCACAUUAUCGUCGUUUCAAUUUCUAUCGAGAUCCUUCACAAACCCUAAAAUCGCCAUAGAUUACAACCAUUUCUUCCUUCGUUCCUCAGAUCUCAACCGGAAACUCAUCAAUCUCAACCAGAAACUCAUCGAUCUCAACGUGAAACUCAUCUAUCUCACCGCGAAACUCGUCGAUUUCUCUACGAAACUUAUCGAUCUCAUUCACGAACCCUAGAACGACCUAGUUCUCACCGCGAAACCUAUCCUUCUCCGUUGAAACUCAUCUCCAUCAUCAUGAACCAUUAAAAACGCAUGGUGAAAUUCAUACAUCGAAAAAUCAUCGCGAAACCUAAAAUCCUUCGGCGACGGCGAUCUCGUUUUUUGAUUCUCAGACAAAGGAAAGGAAUCAAGAGAUUUUAAGGCUCAGAGAAGAUCUGAAGGAAGCUCAAGACAGAAAAUUUCAGAAGAAAUUGUGAGACUUCAAUUUUGUAUAUUCUUCAGGUAUAUCCCUAAUUUUGAUGUUACCACUUUGCUUGUCAAUUUGUAUUACUGGAAAAUUGAAAAUAAUAUGGAGAUAGUGUCAAUUCCUUUUACUGAAUUUGAUACCAGUAUCUUAAUGAAUUAAAUUUUAAUUUGCAGGGUAGUCAAGCUUACAAUAUUAUUGACUAUUUUAAAUACUUUUUUUUAGUAAGACUAUUUGCAGCUUCAAGUAAAUUUAUCUUAGUGAUGAAUUUCAAGCACUAGUUAACAGGGAAUUUUGUUUGAAAUAUGUCUAUGAAGGGAAUUCUGAGUUGGAGCAGGGACUAAGCUUUCGAGAUUCCAGAAUAGAGGAUAUUUGUCUUGAUUUUACUCUUCCUGGGUAUUCUGAUAUUGUUCUUGCUUAUAUUUUCAACCUUUUUGGUAGGUAAAUAUGAGAAAUAUGGAGGAUUAUGUUUCACUUAUUGUGGAUGCAACCGUGAAGUAUGGAAUUUCAAGACAAGUGGAAGCUUUUAAAUCCGGCUUUAACCAUAUCUCUUGUUUUGUCUUUGAUAAUAGUUGAAAUACUUUAACAAUAAUCUUUUUGGUUGUGUUAUAUUCACUGUCACUAUGAUGCUGCCUAAUAUAUUUGUUUCUUUUACUUUCGUGUCAUCAAAAGGUUAACUAUUUUAAAUACUUUUUUUUAGUUCUAUUUUAAAUACUUUUAUUUUGAUUUUUCAAAAAUCUAGUUAGGGUUGAAUAAAUGUUGCUUAAAUUGAUUUUAAUCCUUGAUUUUCAAUGGAAAAUAUGAUAAAGCUAAAUGAUGAAUUUGAUUACAAAAGCUUAUCAAGAAGGAUAGACAUAUAAGUAGGUAAACUCAUUAUGCAACAUGAUAGACAGCAGAAGGCAUUUGAGGAUGAGAUUGAAAGCUUAGGUACUGAAGCACAACAUCUGAUACUUGAGGCUUAAAGAAACUUUGUAGAUUCAUUGGAGACUUGGGUUAGUUCAAUUGAGGCUGCUCAACAAUAACUAUCAUAAUUGCCAGGAAGUUUGGAUUACCGUGUUACGGAGGAAAGUUUGAUGGAUCGCGUAGGUACACCAAUAUGCAUGAAGCAUGCCUGCAGAUUGACAAAGAAUGCAGGUUAGUGGAAAAGUUGUUUGAUCUCUCCUGCUGGAGCCUUUUGUUUCUAGUUCCAUUUCUUUAUUCAUCAAGUUAUUGAACAUGAGUGUGAAUGUUAGAGUUUCACAAAAGUAUUUGUAAAACUGAAGCAAUCAAAAGCAUGAUAUCUCUCUUUUAUUCAUCAGGUUCUUUAGGAAGUGUAUUGUGAUUUUGUUAGUUUUAUGUGUGUAAUUACUUAUUGAUUAAUCAAAAGCAUGAUAUCUCUCUUUUAUUCA